AUCACCAAGGCUUGUUUUUACCAAAUUCGGAAUAUUGGUCGAAUUCGAUCUUUAAUUUCAGUUGAAGCCUGUAAAACAGUAGUGUGCUCCCUAGUUACAUCAAGGCUGGACUAUGGCAAUGCAUUGUUGUACGGUACUAACACCAAAAUUAUCAGUAAAUUGCAGCGGGUCCAAAACACAGCAGCAAGUUUGAUAACACGAAAAAGGAAAUUUGACUCAAUUACGCCUGUUUUAAUAUCGUUACACUGGCUACCCAUACAUUACCGUUGCCAAUAUAAACUUCUUUUAUAUGUGUACAAAGCACAGCAUGGCAAAGCUCCUAGUUACCUUCAAAAUUUAAUUACGCCAUACAAGCCAAGUAGAACCCUCAGGUCGGAAAAAAGUAUGCUCCUACAUCCUCCAAAUGACGUUCGAACGAAAAGCUACGGUGAGAGGCGUUUUGACAAGGCUGCGCCUGCACUCUGGAACAAUUUGCCAUCGUCUUUACGGAGUGUAAAUUCUUUAGAUGUUUUUAAAAAGCAACUCAAGACUCAUUUAUUUCGGACUGCUUUUAAGGAUUUCUUGUAGAUUUUAUAUAUACUUUUAAUUGACUGCAUUAGUUUUAGACAGUUUUGUAUAUAUUUU
rnacentral:lncRNA from 1 species